rnacentral:rRNA from 1 species
GGCGAACGCUGGCGGCGUGCCUAAUACAUGCAAGUCGAACGCUGAAGGAGGAGCUUGCCUCUCUGGAUGAGUUGCGACCGGGUGAGUAACGCUUAGGUAACCUGCCUGGUAGCGGGGGAUAACUAUUGGAAACGAUAGCCAAUACCGCAUAAUAGCAGUUGUUGCAUGACAACUGUUUGAAAGGUGCACUUGCUCCACUACCAGAUGGACCUGCGUUGUAUUAGCUAAUUGGGGGGGUAACGGCUCACCAGGGCGACGAUACAUAGCCGACCUGAGAGGGUGAGCGGCCAAGCUGGGACGGGGGGACGGCCCAGACCACUGCGGGAGGCAGCAGGAGGGAAUUCUUGGCAAAGGAAGGAAGGCUGAACGAGGGACGACGGGGGAGGGCAUAAGGGUGUCGGAUCGUAAGGGUCAGUUGUAAGAGAAGAACGAGUGGGAGAGUGGAAAGUUCACACUGUGACGGUACCUGACCAGAAAGGGACGGCUAACUACGUG